AGUGAACGCUGGCGGUAGGCCUAACACAUGCAAGUCGAACGGCAGCACAGUAAGAGCUUGCUCUUACGGGUGGCGAGUGGCGGACGGGUGAGGAAUACAUCGGACUCUACUUUUUCGUGGGGGAUAACGUAGGGAAACUUACGCUACUACCGCAUACGACCUACGGGUGAAAGCAGGGGAUCUUCGGACCUUGCGCGAUUGAAUGAGCCGAUGUCGGAUUAGCUAGUUGGCGGGGUAAAGGCCCACCAAGGCGGCGAUCCGUAGCUGGUCUGAGAGGAUGAUCAGCGACACUGGAAGUGAGACACGGUCCAGAGUCCUACGGGAGGCAGCAGUGGGGAAUAUUGGACAAUGGGCGCAAGCCUGAUCCAGCCAUACCGAGUGGGUGAAGAAGGCCUUCGGGUUGUAAAGCCCUUUUGUUGGGAAAGAAAAGCAGCAGGUUAAGACCCCGCUGUUCUGACGGUACCCAAAGAAUAAGCACCGGCUAACUUCGUG
rnacentral:rRNA from 1 species